rnacentral:rRNA from 1 species
AACGAACGCUGGCGGCAUGCCUAACACAUGCAAGUCGAACGAGAUCUUCGGGUCUAGUGGCGCACGGGUGCGUAACGCGUGGGAAUCUGCCCUUUGGUUCGGAAUAACAGUUGGAAACGACUGCUAAUACCGGAUGAUGACGAAAGUCCAAAGAUUUAUCGACAGAGGAUGAGCCCGCGUGGGAUUAGCUAGUUGGUGUGGUAAAGGCGCAACAAGGCGACGAUCCUUAGCUGGUCUGAGAGGAUGAUCAGCCACACUGGGACUGAGACACGGCCCAGACUCCUACGGGAGGCAGCAGUGGGGAAUAUUGGACAAUGGGCGAAAGCCUGAUCCAGCAAUGCCGCGUGAGUGAUGAAGGCCUUAGGGUUGUAAAGCUCUUUUACCCGGGAUGAUAAUGACAGUACCGGGAGAAUAAGCUCCGGCUAACUCCGUGCCAGCCGCCGCGGUAA